rnacentral:rRNA from 1 species
AGAGGACGCUGGCGGUAGGCCUAACACAUGCAAGUCGAACGGCAGCACAGGAGAGCUUGCUCUCUGGGUGGCGAGUGGCGGACGGGUGAGGAAUACAUCGGAAUCUACCUUUUCGUGGGGGAUAACGUAGGGAAACUUACGCUAAUACCGCAUACGUCUUACGGGAGAAAGCGGGGGAUCGAAAGACCUCGCGCGGCGGG